AGGUGGGGCUGAUGACUGGGGUGAAGUCGUAACAAGGUAGCCGUACCGGAAGGUGCGGCUGGAUCACCUCCUAACAGGGAGACAACAACUGAUCAUGAUGUCUGAGUAAUUUAUUCUUAGGCCUUGAUCCUGUCACCUUAGGUCGAUCGGUACCUCAAAUUGAGGGUUAAUUGAAAAUCGAUUUUGAUUAUUAAUUGACUCAAUUUCAGUUCCUAAACUUUGUCUAGGUCACACCCAACAAGGGUACUCCUGGGCCAUUAGCUCAGGUGGUUAGAGCGCACCCCUGAUAAGGGUGAGGUCCCUGGUUCAAGUCCAGGAUGGCCCAUUCGGUGUUGGGGGUAUAGCUCAGUUGGUAGAGCGCCUGCUUUGCAAGCAGGAUGUCAGCGGUUCGAGUCCGCUUACCUCCACUGAUCAAACUCCUUAUUACCCAGUGAAAGGAGAUUAUCUUUGCUUGAUGUGAUUUAGACUUUAGUUUUACUUGAAGGAACCUAGCUUCCUAUCAUUCCGUUCAAAUUUAAAAUUGAAUCAGGUUGAUAAGAUGCUGGGCUCAAUACAACUCUUUAGAGAUGUAUCGUGUUCAGUAGAACCUUGACAACUGCAUAGGUAAGUCUGGAAAGAAUAAAGCAUCUCAUGGAUGCAUUUUCUGAAAGAUUUUAGUGAUCCAUGAUGUUUAAAUCAUCAUGGAUAAUUAUUGUUUUUUGGAAUAAUGUUGAUUCUUGAGCAAGAGCCGAGACUCUUUAGCGAUCUUUUGAUUCUUAAAAAGUAUCAAAUUUAGUUAUAACUAAAUUUUCGCUAUAGAGGUAAUUGGUCAAGCUACAAAGGGCUCACG
rnacentral:misc_RNA from 1 species